AACCAAUGGACGCGUCGCCGAACGUCACGUUGUUCAUACAGCCCUAUGGGGGGGGGGGGGAGAAUGGGGUCACGUGGUACUAUAACGGGUGUGGGGUCACGUGGUACUAUAAGGGGUAUGGGGUCAUACAGCCCUAUGGGGGUAUGGGGUCACGUGGUACUAUAACGGGUAUGGGGUCAUACAGCCCUAUGGGGGAAUGGGGUCACGUGGGUACUAUAGGGGUAUGGGGUCACACAGCCCUAUGGGGGAAUGGGGUCACACAGCCCUAUGGGGGGGGGAAUGGGGUCACGUGGUACUAUAGGGGUAUGGGGUCAGACAGCCCUAUGGGGGGAAUGGGGUCAUGUGGUACUAUAACGGGUAUGGGGUCAUACAGCCCUAUGGGGGGAAUGGGGUCAUACAGCCCUAUGGGGGUAUGGGGUCACGUGGUACUAUAACGGGUAUGGGGUCAUACAGCCCUAUGGGGGUAUGGGGUCAGACAGCCCUAUAAUGGGUAUGGGUGGUAUGGGGUCAUACAGCCCUAUAGGGUUAUGGGGUCACGUGGUACUAUAAGGGGUAUGGGGUCACACAGCCCUAUGGGGGGGGAAUGGGGUCACGUGGUACUAUAGGGGUAUGGGGUCAGACAGCCCUAUGGGGGGAAUGGGGUCAGACAGCCCUAUGGGGGGAAUGGGGUCACGUGGUACUAUAACGGGUAUGGGGUCACACAGCCCUAUGGGGGAAUGGGGUCACACAGCCCUAUAAGAGGUAUGGGGACAGACAGCCCUAUAGGGGUAUGGGGUCAUGUGGUACUAUAACGGGUAUGGGGUCAUACAGCCCUAUGGGGGCAAUGGGGUCACACAGCCCUAUGAGGGCAAUGGGGUCAGACAGCCCUAUGGGGCAAUAGGGUCAGACAGCCCUAUAACGGCUAUGGGUGGUAUGGGGUCACACAGCCCUGUGGGGGUAUGGGGUCAGAUGGCCCUAUGGGGGAAUGGGGUCACGUGGUACUAUAAGGGGUAUGGGGUCACACGCUCGCUAUCUGGCAGUGCCGGGGAAUGGUAUGGAUCCCUAUAGGAUUCUUGCUGGUUCACUUUGUGGCAAUACCUGGAUCUGUAUGGCUCCCUAUGGGGUUUCCAAACGGAUCACUUUGUGGCAAUACCAGGAUGGCUCUGGCUCCCUAAGGGAUUCCCAGUGGCUCCCUUUGUGGCAGUACCUGAAUCUCUCUGGGUCCCUAUGAGGUUCCCAACGGCUCCCUUUGUGGCAGUACCUCAUGUCUGUAUGGCUCCCUAUAUGACUCACCACAGCUCCCUUUGUGGCAGUACCUGGGGUCUAUAUGACUCCCUAUGGGACUCCCCAUAGCUCCCUUUGUGGCAGUACCUGAAUCUCUCUGGCUCCCUAUGGGGCUCCCCACGGCUCCCUUUGUGGCAGUACCAGGAUGGCUCUGGCUCCCUAUGGG
rnacentral:lncRNA from 1 species